AGCAGAGCUUUCUUUUGUCAACUGUGAUUUUGCCCUUGAGUUUGCUCGUCCCCUGUUUCCCAACACAGUCUAUGUGGGAGGCUUAAUGGACAAACCUGCCAGGCCAAUACCUCAAGCAACAGGAAGUGAACUGUGACACUGGGCAUAGCUUGGGCAUAGGAGAUGUCAAUGCUCACUCCCAUAGUGGCACACUUCCUCCAACAAGGUAAUACUUAUUCCAAUAAGGUCAUACCUUCUAAUAGUGCCACUACCUUUGGGGAAUAUUUUCUUUCAAAUCACCGUAGGUCAGAAUUGUUUCUUGGUAGAGAUGUCCUAAAAGGAUGUACUCUAAGGCAAGACAGACACUCUGAGAGUACAUUUUAAGGGUUGCCAAUGUAGAGUGUUAAAAUACCACAUGCUAAGUUUGAGGAUCUUGGUACAAAGUUUGCAUUUUUUUUUUUGUAUCUCUGUAGGCCUGGGUUUGCUGGAAUAACUCCGGUAGCUAGUCUUGAUAUUUCCAUAUUAAUUUUGAGCUAUAUAUAAAAUAAAUACAGUGAAAGUCCAUACAUUUAGUAUUUGUUAAGGAGACAGGUUCUUCAUAAUGAAACAGAAAACACUUUCAGAAGGCAUGUAUGUGGACUGUAGCAGUGACAGGAGGAACUGAUUCUGUUGUUCUGUUGAGACUGUUCAGCCUUUUGUACUGCAUCAAGCUACCAUAAACCAUCAAAGCUGUCAUGUAGUUUGCAUGUUCAAUGCAGGCUCAGAAUCACUACCACUGAAAACCUAAAAGUGCAGAGAGCUAAGAAUAUUUGAUUGCUUGUUAUCUGUUACUGUGGGAUUCCCUGUCCCAUGCUGGGAGGAAUAAUCACCUUUGGUUUCGUACAGUGUUGUCCUAGAUGUUGAGGUGAUGAAGGUGAUGUCUCUCCUGCUUUCAACUCAAAGCAGAGAUAUAGAAUUCCUCUAGCUCUCUUUGGUACCAAACUGCCUACAUGUCCUUGAGGUGGGUGAGAAGAAUGUUUGGGAAGUGAUCUGUGAGUGAUACAUAUAUAUUCUUCUUGGAAGGAGGUUUCUGAUAUGCAUUUUGGAUAGAAUUUUCUGAAAACCCAAAUUUGUGGGGAUGGGUGUACUGUAUAUAGAUUUGGAAGUAAGACAGUCAUCAUCUGGGUUCCCUGAUUGAAUCCUGAAGUAGUAGAAGAUUAAUUUAUAUUCAUAAAUUUAGAUAUGAUUUGCAGAGACUUCACCUUCUAUACAGGAAGUUCAGAUAUUGGCACACAGAGAUGAAAUAGAGUAUGGUUAAAGUAAAGAGUGAGAACAAAUGUUUUGAAGUAAAUCCUUACUAAAGAGUCUGAAAUCUA